GUGUCUCAAAGCUUCCCAGGGUGAUGCAACCAAGUCCAUUGCUCAGAGUUUUCUGUGGAGGCAACAGCUGUGUAGUGUGGCCAGAUCUACACUGCAGAGGAAAAUGCUCAGAAAUGGCUGAAACAUCUGGACCCUAGGUUUCCCAGUGUGUGGUGAGGACAGAUGAGGACACUCUAGUAGCCUCUUCCAUAGGUGGCUGUCCUGUUUUCCAGAGCAGAAAGCGAUUUGAUAUUCCAUCUGAGAAGAGCACAGACCAACCUUGACCCAAGAGUCUCUCACUCACUUAUUUACUUAGUGUUCUCACAAUAGCAACAAAGAUAUCUUCCUCCCACUUACUGCUGGAUUGAUGCUGGAAAUCCUGUGGGUACAGAUUCAUUCUGUUCACUUAAAACAUCUCAUUCUCCUAAAAUACAAACUUUACAGAGGGAAGCACAGCACAGGAGGGCUUAAUUAUUGAGCCCCACACAUCUUUAGGAUUCAAGCAGAGCCGUGUUUACCUGCCUUUUUUUUUUUUAACCUGACCACUGGUAUCAACUUUGAUGCUUGAAGGAGGCGACUGGAUCAUCAUCUUUCUGGAUGAGAGAGAUGUGAGGGGCUUUGGUGGGUACUGUGGGUAGUAUAGCAGGCCCAGUGUGGUUGCUUGAGUUGGUAUUGUGGACAUUUUUGCUUUCUAGAUUUGUUCUUCCUACCUCAUCUUUAGGAAAGCCCCAGUGCCUUCAGUGUUUGCUUU
rnacentral:lncRNA from 1 species